GGAGAACUGAGAUAAGUCUCAGAAGUGAGAACAUGCUGCAUCAUAUACCGGCAAGAGUUUUCGCCUUGAGGUCAAGGUUUCUCAUACCCAGCUGUAGAGCUUGUACCAAGCAAAUGUAUAAUUCACAAAAAGCUGGAAAUGACAGUAUCACUACAUUAAACUCAUUGUGUGAUCUAAAAAGCCAUCUCAAGGAUACCCAGUUUAUUUUUCGCCCUUUCUCACUUGAUCACAAUGAACUCUCGUUGCUCCACGACCUUGUUGUAUCUCAUACUCCCGAUAACUUCCAUGAAGGAACGAAAGCAAAAAUAGCCAAGAAAAUAACCAAGAUAUUUGAUGGGUAUAUCAAGAGACUUGUGUAUGCAACAAUACUUACCUGUCCGUGGUUUUCGGGCUCUCAGUUGGAAGAGUUUUCAAAGGCUAGGAAUAACGUGCUUUACAUUGUCUUUGUGUCACGAGAUGAGCAGUUUUUUUCACUAAAAAAUCAGCAUGAGAAAGAGUUAUGCGACAUUAUUGAUCGAGGUUUUAUGUUUGCUUGUGAUGUGAGACAUUUUGGUGGUCAGCUUCAUCAUGGUGAUGACAGGGCAGUCGAAGCUUUUUGCUCACCUCCGGAAUCAAUCAUCUUCAGCUCACCGGAAUGGAUCAAUCUGUCAUCACUUCUUGAUCCAGUCUCGCUUCUGACACGUACAUUUGUUAAGCGUUGUGUAGGAAAGUCCGUUGGCUCUCUUGUCAAGAAAAAACCGGUCUCUGGCAGACUGGAGGUUAGAGAUGAUGCUCUUCUAAGCAAUUUCUGUGACUCUUUUAGGCUUCUUUCUUAUGCUGAGUCAGCAAUUAACAGAAAGCCUAUUACUAGUUGGUUUAGCGUAGGCGUGACUGAGGAAGAAAAAGAAAUACUCCAGUCUUUGACGCAAGCAUUUGAAGGUUUAGUACACAAGGAGCAAUUGCUGGAACUUUUAUUGAAAGUGGAGCAAAGAGUGACUGAAGGCAUAGAGAAAGUGCAUACUUCCCGGCUUAAAUGUACCAUCGAUUAUGGAGAAUGGCUGACUAAAAUGAGGAUGGAAGGAGCCAACUUUUUGUUACCUCAAAAACUGGAAUCAGAUUUACAUGUAGAUCCUCAUCGUGACUUUCUAGACUCUCUAUAUUUAAGAAGCAUACACAGUCAUGACGUGAUUUUGAUUGCUAAGGCAGGGAGUCACAUGUAUAAUCUGGCUGUACCUACAUCUGACACUGACUAUGUAGUGGUGUACAGAAAACCAACACAUGUUUUCUACUAUUAGUGUCAGGAAUCCUUAUGUCCCGUCACCAAACCUCACAUUAUUGUUUUGUCUCAUUGUCCUAUGGGAUACAGGGGAUGUCUUGGAAAUCUCCCCUCCACCCCAUACCCCACAUUUACAGUACAGGUCAAUAAAAACUUCCCGUUGCGUUGGCGUUGAACGGGCGUAUCCCGUUAAAACUGUAGGCGGAAACCGUUUCCAUAACGUUGCCACGUUGCGUUUUCUGAAAGCGUUUUCUUGGUUGGAAGACGUUUUAGCUCAAAAACUAUCCAAGACAGUCUUAGGUCCCUUUAAAAAGGACGCGUUGGGCUAUUCUACGCUUCCGCCAGUGAUGACUCGGUAGUGAUGUAGACUAGUAAUGAUGGAGUCCGCUGUCAAGAGCUCCAGUGACGGUGAAUACAGAUCUUGGCUGCUGGAUGCUUUAGUGAUAAUGGUUGUUUCUAUUUUUAUUAAUAAUAAUACUUUUUGUUAAAAAGAAAAAUAACAACAAUAAUAAAUAAGCCACUCCUUCACGUAACCAUAGCUACUAAUUGUAGUCAAUUAACUGCGCGCGAGUAUUGCAGAGUAUUACAGGCGGCAAAGAUGGUUUACUCUUCAUACAAGAAGAUGAGGAUUCUUAGCCUAUCCAGAAGAGGACACAGGUCUACCACAAUCUGUAAACUUCUGGAACAGGAAGGAUUGAUAUCAACAUCAAGAGGAAUCAGAUAUUUCCUUAAGAAGUACAGAACAACUGGUAAAAUAAUUAUUAUA
rnacentral:misc_RNA from 1 species